UGAGGAACAUGACCUUCGGCGGGGGAUAGCCGGCCCAACGGCUGGGUAAUACCGCGUACGACCACAUGGGGACAUCCCUGAGUGGUGAAAGCAGCAAUGCGCCGAUGGAGUGCCUCGCGGCCUAUCAGCUAGUUGGUGAGGUAACGGCUCACCAAGGCGACGACGGGUAGCCGGCCUGAGAGGGCGACCGGCCACACUGGGACUGAGACACAGCCCAGACCUCCGUAGGGAG
rnacentral:rRNA from 1 species